rnacentral:rRNA from 1 species
UAGGGAAUCUUCCGCAAUGGACGAAAGUCUGACGGAGCAACGCCGCGUGAGUGAAGAAGGAUUUCGGUUCGUAAAACUCUGUUGUUAGGGAAGAAAAAAUGUAUAGUAACUAUAUACAAAAGAGACGGUACCUAACCAGAAAGCCACGGCUAACUACGUGCCAGCAGCCGCGGUAAUACGUAGGUGGCAAGCGUUGUCCGGAAUUAUUGGGCGUAAAGCGCGCGCAGGUGGUUUAGAAAGUCUGAUGUGAAAGCCCACGGCUCAACCGUGAAGGGUCAUUGGAAACUAAUAAACUGGAGUGCAGGAGAGAAAAGUGGAAUUCCUAGUGUAGCGGUGAAAUGCGUAGAGAUUAGGAGGAACACCGGGGGCGAAAGCGGCUUUUUGGCCUGCAACUGACACUGAGGCGCGAAAGCGUGGGGAGCAAACAGG